CCCCUACCUGAGGGCGCGAAUGCGGAAGAAACCCGCGCCACUCGCCGACCCUUAUUCCUGCGCGGGGAGCCCAGCUUCUCGGCCAGCGUACCUUCUAGGAAGCUCGGAGGCUUCGCAACUCUCUGGUCCGUUUAAUAGAGAAGGGGCCUCCGUCUCACGCACCCCUGGUCGAGGCCAAUCAACUGCCGCAGAGGGUCCCGGUUGGGGCACGUGACUUUCAGGCCCCGCCCGGCCGGUUCCCGCCCAGCCAAGCAGUUCGGAAUCUCUAACAAGAAUCACCAGGAGGUUUUGAAAACUCUAACGGCGAGACCUUCCCCUCCCACACCAGUUGAACCAGAAUGCGUUAAGAUGGGCCCUUGUGCAAUUGCAGCGCGAGCAGGGGAGGAGCAGAGAAAGAGGGAAACAGAAUCUAAAGCUGGCUCCGAGCUGUCAGCACAGAGCCCAACACAGGGCUUGAACCCACAGACCGUGAGAUCAUGACCUGAGACAAAGUCGGUCGCGCAACCGUCUGAGCCACCCAGGCGCCACUAGAGUGACCACCUUUUUAGAGAGCCAACCCUGGACACAGUCCUACCAGACGAAUAACAUACUCCCUGAGUCAAUCAUGGUCCAGAAGCAGACAAUCCUUCUGACAUAUCCUGAGAAGGUGGAUAGUAGCACUUUAUCUCAUCAUAGAAGCAUUUUAUCAUCUCACAUCAUCACAAGAAGAAGGGCAUGUCUCCUGAUAAAAUCCUUGCAUGUUUCAUCACAUCUUGGCAUCUGCUUCUUGGAGGACCUGGACUAACAUCACAGAAAGAGCAAUUUUCCAAAAGCCCACACUCGCAAAAGGAAAAGUCUAAGCUAUUUCAUGUACCGUUAGCCUGUUCUCUACUCUGUAGGGAGACUGAAAGCUGAAUCAUGUCUAUUUCCACAUAAUAAGAGGAACUUUUGAUCCUGGAUGAUGGAGUUAUUCCCCUAGUUUCACCCCCUUUCACCUCGGGCACCAUCAAGCCAGUGCAUAGCAGGGAAGACUAUUUACUGACUGCUAUCCUUCCAAGAGUAGUAUAUUGUUGAAUUUGAUGGACCAGAAGAGGGAACUGGCUUACUUGCUACCAUCAUGAGAAUUCAGGUUAAUUUUGCUAUUACAAUCCCAUCAUCACACUCUUGCAAACCAGGGAAUAAGAGCAGCCAAUGAGUAUGCUGGAAAGAGAACAGAUACUGUCUCCUAAUAUUGAGUAAUCUCUUUGAAGCCUGAUUGUUUACAGUUUCUCACUCGCCAGGGUUAGACAGCUCUGUCCUUUGCACAUGCCCCAUUUUUAGAGGGCCUACUUCCAUUACCCCAAGAACUCAGGUCUUAAAGAAUAUGGGCAAUGCUAUAGACAGCAGUGUUAGGUACCGUAAGUCUGCACCAACGCACUCAUGAACUGUUUUGUAGAUGCUCCGUUUGUGUGCCAAAUUUGGCCUCUCCGGUGUCCAUGCUAAUUGGUCUUGACCAGGCCACUUAGAUCCAAAAUCCUCUUUCCAAGAUGUUUUAUGUUGCAAUUCUUCAUCUCAGGGUCAUGAGUUCAAGCUCCACAUUGGGCGUAGAGAUUACUUAAACAAAUAAACUUAAAAAAAAUGUUUUUAUGAACAUGUUCUCUUUGUACCUGAGAGGAUGCAUUUGAUUAGGGAUUCUGAGAAGCCUGGGAUUAUGAUUUUGGAUCUAAAGAUGCUGAUAAUCUGGGACAAGUUAACUUCAUUUUCCUGGACGUUGCUUCUAAUUCAUAUCUUCCCCCUUAUAUCACUCACUGGGAGUCUCUCAUAGAUGUGGGGAAACCUCAUGCUGUUAAGAAACAUCACAAUGACCUUUGAGGUCGAUACCCUGAGCAGUUCCUUGUUGUAUUCCAUGUUCUCCCAGGACUUGGAGGUGGGAAUGAUAAUUAGGAAUUUCUUAUAGGCUCCCACUUUGUCCAGCUCAGUGAUCAACAGAGAGCUCCCCUGGAUUCCCAAAUCGUCAUCUUGAGUCACAAUGCCCACUCAGAUCCAUUUAAAGUAGGGUCAUUCCCUGGGCCCAGGAUUGGUCACUAGUGUCCUCUGCAGAAAAGGAGUCUCAUUACUGAGACAGACUCCAGUGGGUACAUAACUGACCCAGAAAGUGAACACAUCUUUUUCAUAAAUCAGAAGCGAAUCCUGACAGAAGCGUAUAGAAGGAAUACUGAAACCUAUCCUUACAUUUAAAGUUUUGAUAUGUAUGAUGAUGUUUCUAUACCAAGUCGUAACAUACAUGUAAAUUGUUCUCUCCAGUUUAUUUACUUUCUAAAUAAAGGUGGGGCAAUUCUCAGCCCUUGGAAAUAAUUUCUCCCUAAACUCCUGGGCAGAGGAGGCAAUGUAAUCUAGGUUCAACUAGAGCAGACCUCUUAGAGUUUAAUUCCCAACAUUAAAGGCAAACGUAUCCCUGAUAUUAAGGAACAGCCGGUUCUUUUGUUUGGCUACUUUCUGUAUUUAAUGUAAAUACACAUUUAAAGGAAAUAAAUCUAGGGGUGCCUGGGUAGCUCAGUCAGUUGAGUGUCCAACUCUUGAUUUCAGCUCAGGUCAUGGUCCCAGAGUCAAGGGAUCGAACCCCAGCUCA